rnacentral:rRNA from 1 species
GUGCCAGCCGCCGCGGUAAUACGGAGGGUGCAAGCGUUAUCCGGAUUUACUGGGUUUAGGGGGUGCGUAGGUGGCAAGUAAGUCAGUGGUGAAAUCUCCGAGCUUAACUUGGAAACUGCCAUGGAUACUAUAGGUCUUGAAUACUGUGGAGGUCAGCGGAAUAUGUCAUGUAGCGGUGAAAUGCUUAGAUAUGACAUAGAACACCAAUUGCGAAGGCAGCUGGCUACACAAAUAUUGACACUGAUGCACGAAAGCGUGGGGAUCAAACAGGAUUAGAUACCCUGGUAGUCC